rnacentral:lncRNA from 1 species
UGGGACAGAGUCUUGCUCUGUUACCCAGGCUGGAGUGCAAUGGCACAAUCUCAACUCACUGCAACCUCCACCCCCUGAGUUCGAGCAAUUCUCCUGCCUUGGCCUCCCGAGUAGCUGGGAUUACAGGCGCCUGCCACCAUGCCUGGCUAAUUUUUGUAUUUUUAGUAGAGACGGAGUUUCAGCAUUUUGGCCAGGCUGAUUUUGAACUGCUGACCUCAGGUAAUCCACCUGCCUCAGCCUCCCAAAGUGCUGGGGUUACAGGCGUGAGCCACUG